CCUACGGGUGGCAGCAGUCGCGAAAACUUCGCAAUGGGGGCAACCCCGACGAGGGAAUUCCAAGUGCUAGCACUUUGUGUUAGCUGUUCUUCUGUCUAAAAAACAGGAGGAGUAAGGGGCGGGUAAGACGGGUGCCAGCCGCCGCGGUAAUACCCGCGCCCCAAGUGGUGGUCGAUAUUAUUGAGCCUAAAACGUCCGUAGCCGGUCUUCUAAAUCCUUGGGUAAAUCGGGCAGCUUAACUGUCCGAAGUCCGGGGAGACUGGGAGACUUGGGACCGGGAGAGGUCAGAGGUACUUCUGGGGUAGGGGUAAAAUCCUGUAAUCCUGGAAGGACCACCGGUGGCGAAGGCGUCUGACUAGAACGGAUCCGACGGUGAGGGACGAAGCCCUGGGGCGCAAACGGGAUUAGAUACCCGUGUAGUC
rnacentral:rRNA from 1 species